rnacentral:lncRNA from 1 species
CACACCUCCACCACCAGAACCAUUCAUUUUCGAAUGAAUGACGUAGAUGGGUGUAUUUGUGAAAUCGUGACGAAACUAACAGGCAGCUCGCCAGGUUUUCGCGUAGCUGCGAUUUUUCCUCUAAUUUCGUUUAUUUUAAUUUGAUCGUCAAGACUUUCACUGUCUUUCACCGACCACAAGUACAUAGUCACAAACAAGGUUUAUUGAAAAACACUGAAGAAUAAAUAUCAAUCAAAACAUAUGUGCGUGAAAGUGUAUGCUAAUUAAUACUGGUAGUCUGCGCAGCUAAAGCGAUACUGAUGUGUUGUGUAUUAAACAAGUUUGCAUGAAUAAACAAAGUCAUUAAAAAGAGCAAAGAAUGCGCCCAACAACACAUCCAACCGAGCGAGGAAGAGGCAGUCGUUGAUGAUAAAGCAGAAAAACUGAUCAAUGAUGAUGAUAAUGAUGGUCGAUGUCGAUGAUGAUACGUACUGCUGCUGGUGGAAUGAUUCUCACUUGCGUUUGCGAAGAGCAGCAGCAGCAACAACAGUUCGUUAUAAAGCCCCCCACUGACUGGUGUAAUGCAAGCUUAAAGAGAUUGCAGGUAAACAAAAUUGUUUAUGUUUAACAUAAAAGAAGAGAUAAAGAGAAUAAAAAAAAACGUUAUUACAGUUACGGUGCCUUCGUUAUGAAAGAAAGAGAGAUAGUUCGAUUUCGAGCUAUAAAAGCAGAUAAACAAAUACAAAUUGUUGUGUAAACAGUGUAGUGUUUGAAUAUGAAUGAUCGUAACCCGAAAAAAAACAAAAUGACUUUUACAAGACAUUUUAGUGAUAUUUUUGAAAACACAUAGACAAAUUACGUGCGGUAAAGUUUGCAAACCCUUCCAACAGAACACUUACAGAUUUUUUUCUGACAGAGUUUGUCGAGAAUAAUAAGACUUAAACACGUAGCAGCUGGAAUAGCAAGUAUGAUCAAAUGCAUUUAAUUAAAAAAAGAAAAUCGAACAAGCGAAACCAACCAACUCCUAUGAACUGUAGAAUCAACAAGACUGUUAGCUCACACGAUGUAAUUGAGGAUUCCGAUUUCGAGCUUUUUUGUCGAAAGGAACCGACUUAGGCUAAAGGUUACACACACACACACAACGGUUACUAUGCGUGCUUUUUCCUGUUUGAGGCCUUUAUAUAAAUAGUUUAACAAGUAGUGAAGUAUAGUAAAGCCUUCGGAACACGCAAUGCAAAUUGGCGAUCAAGUAAAUGAAUCAAAAAGUACCUUGCUAAAUUGUAGAUUGUUAGCUUGUAGGAACUGCUAAGUGUAGCAUUUGUAAUUAAAACUUUUUCAAAUCUCCCAGGAUACGAAAAACUUGUAAAACACGAUUUAUUUCUAUGAAGCAAUGAACAAAACAAAAAAAAAACAAAAGAGAAGAAAACAAAAGGAUCAAAUAAAUUUUGCUGAAUCCCGUUUUUUUACGUUUGUACUUUAAGAUGUAAUAACUAGUUGUAAAUACAUUAUAUACUCUGUACUGGUUAAUUCGUUUUAAGAAAUUUUCAAGAAGUAGAAGAAAAAAACACAGGGAAAGUUUUUUUAUAUCCACUUUAUAUAUUGCUUUUUGUAAGUGAGUCGGUUUAGAACAAAUAAAAG